CCUACGGGUGGCAGCAGUGAGGAAUAUUGGUCAAUGGGCGCGAGCCUGAACCAGCCAAGUAGCGUGAAUGAAGACGGCCCUACGGGUUUUAAACUCUUUCUAUAAAGGAAUAAAGUGCGGCACGUGUUCCUUUUUGCAUGUACCUUAUGAAUAAGGAUCGGCUAACUCGGUGCCAGCAGCCGCGGUAAUACGGAGGUUCCGAGCGUUAUCCGGAUUUAGUGGGUGUAAAGGGAGCGUAGAUGGGUUGUUAAGUCCGUCGUGAAAGGUUGUGGCUCAACCGUAAAAUUGCAAUUGAUACUGGCAGUCUUGAGUACAGGUGAGGUAGGCGGAAUUCGUGGUGUAGCGGUGAAAUGCUUAGAUAUCACGAAGAACUCCGAUGGCGAAGGCAGCUUACUGAACUGCAACUGACAUUGAUGCUCGAAAGUGUGGGGAUCAAACAGGAUUAGAUACCCGGGUAGUC
rnacentral:rRNA from 1 species